CUCCCAAACCCCUGUGAACAUACCAACUGUUGCCUCGGCGGAUCAGCCCGCUCCCGGUAAAACGGGACGGCCCGCCAGAGGACCCCUAAACUCUGUUUCUAUAUGUAACUUCUGAGUAAAACCAUAAAUAAAUCAAAACUUUCAACAACGGAUCUCUUGGUUCUGGCAUCGAUGAAGAACGCAGCAAAAUGCGAUAAGUAAUGUGAAUUGCAGAAUUCAGUGAAUCAUCGAAUCUUUGAACGCACAUUGCGCCCGCCAGUAUUCUGGCGGGCAUGCCUGUUCGAGCGUCAUUUCAACCCUCAAGCCCAGCUUGGUGUUGGGACUCGCGAGUCAAAUCGCGUUCCCCAAAUUGAUUGGCGGUCACGUCGAGCUUCCAUAGCGUAGUAGUAAAACCCUCGUUACUGGUAAUCGUCGCGGCCACGCCGUUAAACCCCAACUUCUGAAUGUUGACCUCGGAUCA
rnacentral:rRNA from 1 species